UUCUGUUAAUCAUGUCAUUAUACUUUGGUUAUUAGCCUUACAUUAUUGAGAUACCCCUUUACUUUUAUUACCGGCAUCUGUGCCGGUUUUUUUU
rnacentral:sRNA from 18 species